AAGACUAUAGACCUGCGGAGUACCUGCGGAAGGAUCAUUAACGUUGGGGACUAACAAUCCCUCAGCGAGAUAGAACCCUUGCCUUUUCGAGUACCACACGUUUCCUCGGCAGGUACGCCUGCCAAUGGGGACCACAACAAAACCUUUUGUAAUAGCAGUAAACGUCUUAAAAACAAAACUUUUAAAACUUUCAACAAUGGAUCUCU
rnacentral:misc_RNA from 1 species